rnacentral:lncRNA from 1 species
GCUGUCGGGACCUUCGAGGACAGUCACGAGCACGCCGAAGCCCACCAGCCCACAUGAAGGAGCUCACCGGGGAUCCGAAGAGAUCUGGAAUGUGCACCACGGGAAGAGCAGGUCCGCCCUGCGGUUGAGGUGGGAUUUCCCUGAGAGCCUGCAGAAGGUGCAGGGGUCGCUCAGCUCCAGCGGCCCAGCCGCUGUCAUGGCAACCGCGCUCAGCAGGGGACGCGCAGGCGCAACCCGGCGGGAGCCUUGGAGACUGUGCACGCUUUUGGUGCCCUGGGCCGUUCUUCCUGUGAUGACUGUUGUUACAGCGCACGUCAUUGGCCUCAAUGAUCUAGAGACUACCUCAUUGGCUCCGGAGGUGGCAGUAACUAUGACAACAAAGUACCGUGUCUAUAUAAUACCCAAACUGCGAGUAAACACAGGGUUCUAUUU